UAAGUAUAAGUGUAGUCACAUAAAUUUUUGAUAUUUAUAAUGAUAAUUCAUA
rnacentral:tRNA from 1 species